CCAUAGGGCGGAGGCGUAGCGAAAGCGAGUCUGAAUAGGGCGACUGAGUUACACGGAUGAGACCCGAAACCGAGUGAUCUAGCCAUGGGCAGGUUGAAGGUGCGGUAACACGCACUGGAGGACCGAACCCACGCCUGUUGAAAAAGUCGGGGAUGAGCUGUGGCUAGGGGUGAAAGGCUAAUCAAACUCGGAGAUAGCUGGUUCUCUGCGAAAGCUAUUUAGGUAGCGCCUCAUGUAUCACCUUCGGGGGUAGAGCACUGGAUGGGCUAGGGGGCUUCACCGCUUACCAAACCUAACCAAACUCCGAAUACCGAAGAGUGCGAGCAUGGCAGACACACGGCGGGUGCUAACGUCCGUCGUGAAGAGGGAAACAACCCUGACCAACAGCUAAGGCCCCCAAAUCGUGGCUAAGUGGGAAAGGAUGUGUCGUUCCCAAAACAACCAGGAUGUUGGCUUAGAAGCAGCCAUCCUUUAAAGAAAGCGUAACAGCUCACUGGUCUAAACAAGGAACUUCGCGCCGAAAAUGUAACGGGGCUCAAGCCACGUGCCGAAGCUUUGGGUUCACGAGCAAUCGUGAGCGGUAGCAGAGCGUUGCGUAUGCCUGCGAAGGGAGAGGGCGACCGAUCCUGGAGGUAUCGCAAGUGAGAAUGCUGACAUGAGUAGCGAUAAAGAGGGUGAGAGACCCUCUCGCCGGAAGUCCAAGGGUUCCUGCGUCAAGUUAAUCUGCGCAGGGUUAGCCGGCCCCUAAGGCAAGGCCGAAAGGCGUAGUCGAUGGGAACCAGGUAAACAUUCCUGGGCCUGUGGGUAGUGACGGAUGUCGUAAGUCGUUCGACCUUACUGGAUUGGUUGGGCGGCGAAGAAGUCCCAGGAAAUAGCUCCCACGUUCAGACCGUACCCGAAACCGACACAGGUGGACUGGCAGAGUAUGCUAAGGCGCUUGAGAGAAUGGUGUUGAAGGAACUAGGCAAAUUGCCCUCGUAACUUCGGAAGAAGAGGGCCCGGUCUUUGCGCAAGCAGGGGCCGGGGGCACAAAGCAGGGGGUAGCGACUGUUUACUAAAAACACAGGGCUCUGCGAAGUCGCAAGACGACGUAUAGGGUCUGACGCCUGCCCGGUGCCGGAAGGUUAAGGAGAGGGGUGCAAGCUCUGAACCGAAGCCCCGGUAAACGGCGGCCGUAACUAUAACGGUCCUAAGGUAGCGAAAUUCCUUGUCGGGUAAGUUCCGACCUGCACGAAUGGCGUAACGACUUCCCCGCUGUCUCCAACACCGACUCAGCGAAAUUGAAUUCUCCGUGAAGAUGCGGAGUACCCGCGGUUAGACGGAAAGACCCCGUGCACCUUUACUAUAGCUUUGCAGUGGCAUUAGAGAAUGGAUGUGUAGGAUAGGUGGGAGGCUUUGAAGUUCAGGCGCCAGCCGGGAUGGAGCCA
rnacentral:rRNA from 1 species